UACGUAGGUGGCAAGCGUUAUCCGGAAUUAUUGGGCGUAAAGAGCGCGCAGGUGGUUAAUUAAGUCUGAAGUGAAAGCCCACGGCUUAACCGUGGAGGGUCAUUGGAAACUGGUUGACUUGAGUGCAGAAGAGGGAAGUGGAAUUCCAUGUGUAGCGGUGAAAUGCGUAGAGAUAUGGAGGAACACCAGUGGCGAAGGCGGCUUCCUGGUCUGCAACUGACACUGAGGCGCGAAAGCGUGGGGAGCAAACAGG
rnacentral:rRNA from 1 species